UUGAACGCUGGCGGCAGGCCUAACACAUGCAAGUCGAGCGGUAGAGAGAAGCUUGCUUCUCUUGAGAGCGGCGGACGGGUGAGUAAUGCCUAGGAAUCUGCCUGGUAGUGGGGGAUAACGCUCGGAAACGGACGCUAAUACCGCAUACGUCCUACGGGAGAAAGCAGGGGACCUUCGGGCCUUGCGCUAUCAGAUGAGCCUAGGUCGGAUUAGCUAGUUGGUGAGGUAAUGGCUCACCAAGGCGACGAUCCGUAACUGGUCUGAGAGGAUGAUCAGUCACACUGGAACUGAGACACGGUCCAGACUCCUACGGGAGGCAGCAGUGGGGAAUAUUGGACAAUGGGCGAAAGCCUGAUCCAGCCAUGCCGCGUGUGUGAAGAAGGUCUUCGGAUUGUAAAGCACUUUAAGUUGGGAGGAAGGGCAGUAACCUAAUACGUUGCGGUCUUGACGUUACCGACAGAAUAAGCACCGGCUAACU
rnacentral:rRNA from 1 species